UGCAGUCGAACGCGAAGCACCUUCGGGUGUUAGUAGAGUGGCGGACGGGUGAGUAAUGCUUGGGAAUCUGCCUAGUAGUGGGGGAUAACUCGAGGAAACUCGAGCUAAUACCGCAUACGCCCUACGGGGGAAAGAUUUAUCGCUAUUAGAUGAGCCCAAGUCAGAUUAGCUAGUUGGUAGGGUAAUGGCCUACCAAGGCGACGAUCUGUAGCUGGUCUGAGAGGACGAACAGCCACACUGGGACUGAGACACGGCCCAGACUCCUACGGGAGGCAGCAGUGGGGAAUAUUGGACAAUGGGCGCAAGCCUGAUCCAGCAAUGCCGCGUGUGUGAAGAAGGCCUGCGGGUUGUAAAGCACUUUCAGUGGGGAAGAAAAGCCUGGGGUGAAUACCCUCGGGUCUUGACGUUACCCACAGAAGAAGCACCGGCUAACUCCGUGCCAGCAGCCGCGGUAAUACG
rnacentral:rRNA from 1 species